rnacentral:rRNA from 1 species
CCUACGGGAGGCAGCAGUGAGGAAUAUUGGUCAAUGGGCGUAAGCCUGAACCAGCCAAGUCGCGUGAGGGAUGAAGGUUCUAUGGAUCGUAAACCUCUUUUAUAAGGGAAUAAAGUGUGGGACGUGUCCUGUUUUGUAUGUACCUUAUGAAUAAGGAUCGGCUAACUCCGUGCCAGCAGCCGCGGUACUACGGAGGAUCCGAGCGUUAUCCGGAUUUAUUGGGUUUAAAGGGUGCGUAGGCGGCCUUUUAAGUCAGCGGUGAAAGUCUGUGGCUCAACCAUAGAAUUGCCGUUGAAACUGGGAGGCUUGAGUAUGUUUGAGGCAGGCGGAAUGCGUGGUGUAGCGGUGAAAUGCUUAGAUAUCACGCAGAACCCCGAUGGCGAAGGCAGCCUGCCAAGCCAUGACUGACGCUGAUGCACGAAAGCGUGGGGAUCAAACAGGAUUAGAUACCCGGGUAGUC